rnacentral:rRNA from 1 species
GACGAACGCUGGCGGCGUGCUUAACACAUGCCAGUCGAGCGGAAAGGCCCUGCUUUUGUGGGGUGCUCGAGUGGCGAACGGGUGAGUAACACGUGAGUAACCUGCCCUUGACUUUGGGAUAACUUCAGGAAACUGGGGCUAAUACCGGAUAGGAGCUCCUGCUGCAUGGUGGGGGUUGGAAAGUUUCGGCGGUUGGGGAUGGACUCGCGGCUUAUCAGCUUGUUGGUGGGGUAGUGGCUUACCAAGGCUUUGACGGGUAGCCGGCCUGAGAGGGUGACCGGCCACAUGGGGACUAAGAGACGGCCCAGACUGCUACGGUAGGCAGCAGUGGGGAAUAUUGCACAAUGGGCGGACGCCUGAUGUAGCAACGUCGCGUGCGGGAUGACGUGCUUCGGGUUGUAAACCGCUUUCGCCUGUGACGAAGCGUGAGUGACGGUAAUGGGUAAAGAAGCACCGGCUAACUACGUG